rnacentral:rRNA from 1 species
AAAGCGUGCGCAGGCGGUUUUGUAAGUCUGUCGUGAAAUCCCCGGGCUCAACCUGGGAAUGGCGAUGGAGACUGCAAGGCUAGAAUCUGGCAGAGGGGGGUAGAAUUCCACGUGUAGCAGUGAAAUGCGUAGAGAUGUGGAGGAACACCGAUGGCGAAGGCAGCCCCCUGGGUCAAGAUUGACGCUCAUGCACGAAAGCGUGGGGAGCAAACAGGAUUAGAUACACCGGU